rnacentral:rRNA from 1 species
GACGAACGCUGGCGGCGUGCUUAACACAUGCAAGUCGAACGGAAAGGCGCUGCUUUUGUGGGGUGCUCGAGUGGCGAACGGGUGAGUAACACGUGAGUAACCUGCCCUUGACUUUGGGAUAACUUCAGGAAACUGGGGCUAAUACCGGAUAGAAGCUCCUGCUGCAUGGUGGGGGUUGGAAAGUUUCGGCGGUUGGGGAUGGAUUGGCGGCUUAUGAGCUUGUUGGUGGGGUAGUGGCUUACCAAGGGUUUGACGGGUAGCCGGCCUGGGAGGGUGACCGGCGACAUUGGGACUGCGAUACGGCCCAGAAGCGUACGGGAGGCAGCAGGGGAGAACAUGGCACAGUGGGGGGAAGCCUGAUGCAGCAACGUUGCGAGCGGGAUGACGUCCUAUGGGGGGUAAACCGCUUUCGCAGUAGACGAAGCGUGCGUGACGGUAAUGGGUAAAGAAGCACCGGCUAACUACGUG